rnacentral:lncRNA from 1 species
AACAAUCCUCAACCAUACUCAGCUCCGGAACCUAAACCAACUUCAGAAAAUCCUCCUGCAUGCAAACCGAACCUCUCUAAGCCAAACUCUACUCCAGAACCUUCUCAGAGUUCCAACUUGGACAAACCAAAAAUUACGUGUCAUAAGUGUGUACAUGCAAAUCAUUUUGCUAAAGAUUUCCUGGCUGAUGCUCCGCAGGAACCAAAAAUCAAGGACUCUGCUUACUAUGUCCGAAAAGCCCAAGAGAUGGCUGAAAGCGAAAAAGCCUUUGUAACAAUGGUUUCGAGANCUGAAAGCGAAAAGCCUUUGUAACAAUGGUUUCGAGAGAUGUUGAAGGAUAUUGGUCAUC